rnacentral:rRNA from 1 species
UACAGAGGCCCCAAGCGUUACUGAGAAUCACUGGGUUUAAAGGGUGCGUAGGUGGCGCGUUAAGUUCGUUGUGAAAUCCCUGGGCUCAACCCCAGGAAUUGCUUCGAAUACUGGCGUGUCUUGAGGCUAGUAGGGGUCACUGGAACUGACGGUGGAGCGGUGAAAUGCGUAGAUAUCGUCAGGAACGCCGAUGGUGAAGACAGGUGACUGGGCUAGUUCUGGACACUGAGGCACGAAAGCGUGGG